rnacentral:misc_RNA from 1 species
ACUCCAAGAAAAGAUUGUACAUAAGCUUGUUAUUCUCUCUAGUAAUGUCAAAGCCCAUGUAGCCAACUAUAUGAGGAGAGCUUAAAGAAGACAGAAUCUUUUGCUCUCUUUGCAAGAACUGGGAUUGGUCAAGCUCGGCAGACUUGACAGCAAAAACGUCACAGGAGAGGAGAGAGAUGGCGAGGGAGACGGUGGCGGUAGAGCCGUAGCCUAAGGUGUGGCCUCUGGUCCA